AACGAACGCUGGCGGCAUGCCUAACACAUGCAAGUCGAACGAUGCUUUCGGGCAUAGUGGCGCACGGGUGCGUAACGCGUGGGAAUCUGCCCUUUGGUUCGGAAUAACAGUUGGAAACGACUGCUAAUUCCGGAUGAUGACGUAAGUCCAAAGAUUUAUCGGCCAGAGGAUGAGCCCGCGUGGGAUUAGGUAGUUGGUGGGGUAAAGGCCUACCAAGCCGACGAUCUCUAGCUGGUCUGAGAGGAUGAUCAGCCACACUGGGACUGAGACACGGCCCAGGCUGCUACGGGAGGCAGCAGUGGGGAAUAUUGGACAAUGGGCGAAAGCCUGAUCCAGCAAAGCCGCGUGGGUGAUGAAGGCCUUAGGGUUGUAAAGCUCUUUUACCCGGGAUGAUAAUGACAGUACCGGGGGAAUAAGCCCCGACUAACUCCGUGCCAGCAGCCGCCGUAA
rnacentral:rRNA from 1 species